rnacentral:rRNA from 1 species
UACGUAGGUGGCAAGCGUUGUCCGGAUUUACUGGGCGUAAAGGAUGCGUAGGCGGACAUUUAAGUCAGAUGUGAAAUACCCGAGCUUAACUUGGGUGCUGCAUUUGAAACUGGGUGUCUAGAGUGCAGGAGAGGUAAGUGGAAUUCCUAGUGUAGCGGUGAAAUGCGUAGAGAUUAGGAAGAACACCAGUGGCGAAGGCGGCUCACUGGUCCGGUACUGACGCUGUAGAGCGAAAGCGUGGGGAGCGAACAGG